AUGACAUUGGUGUUAGCGGUAGCAUGCCGGUCUCCAAAACCGUGCGGCCAGGGUUCGAAUCCUUGAUGUCAUG
rfam:Aeromonas phage phiAS4, complete genome.